rnacentral:rRNA from 1 species
UACGGGGGGGGCAAGCGUUGUUCGGAAUUACUGGGCGUAAAGGGCUCGUAGGCGGCCAACUAAGUCAUACGUGAAAUCCCUCGGCUUAACCGGGGAACUGCGUCUGAUACUGGAUGGCUUGAGUUCGGGAGAGGGAUGCGGAAUUCCAGGUGUAGCGGUGAAAUGCGUAGAUAUCUGGAGGAACACCGGUGGCGAAGGCGGCUCACUGGCCCGAUACUGACGCUGAGGUGCGAAAGCGUGGGGAGCAAACAGG